GGGGGGGGCAAGCGUUGUUCGGAAUUACUGGGCGUAAAGGGUGCGUAGGCGGCUUUCUAAGUUGGAUGUGAAAACUCUGGGCUCAACCCAGAGCCUGCAUCCAAAACUGGAGAGCUAGGGUUCUGGAGGGGAAAGCGGAAUUCCUGGUGUAGCGGUGAAAUGCGUAGAUAUCAGGAGGAACACCGGUGGCGAAGGCGGCUUUCUGGACAGAUACCGACGCUGAGGCACGAAAGCUAGGGGAGCAAACAGGAUUAGAUACCCUGGUAGUCCUAGCCCUAAACGAUGGAUACUUGCUGUGGGGGGGAUUGAAGCCCCUUGUGGCGAAGCURACGCAUUAAGUAUCCCGCCUGGGGAGUACGGUCGCA
rnacentral:rRNA from 1 species